AAGCUUUAUACUGGCUCAGUUUUCAGUACCUCAGAGAUGAAGCUUUAUACUGGCUCAGUUUUCAGUACCUCAGAGAUGAAGCUUUAUACUGGCUCAGUGUUCAGUGCCUCAGAGAUGAAGCUUUAUACUGGCUCAGUGUUCAGUACCUCAAAGAGGAAGCUUUAUACUGGCUCAGUGUUCAGUACCUCAAAGAGGAAGCUUUAUACUGGCUCAGUGUUCAGUGCCUCACUAACUCAGAGAUGAAGCUUUAUACUGGCUCAGUGUUCAGUACCUCAGAGAUGAAGCUUCAUACUGGCUCAGUGUUCAGUACCUCACUAGCUCAGAGAUGAAGCUUUAUACUGGCUCAGUGUUCAGUACCUCAGAGAUGAAGCUUUAUACUGGCUCAGUGUUCAGUACCUCAGAGAGGAAGAUAUAUACAGGGUCACUGCCAGUACCACAUUUACAAUGUGCAGGGGUAAUGGAGUAUUGAGGUAGAUAUGGACAUGUUGUCAAGGAUACUGGAACAUUGAGGUAGAUAGGGACAUAUAUGCAGGGAUACUGGAGUAUUGAGGUAGAUAGGGACAUAUAUGCAGGGAUACUGGAGUAUUGAGGUAGAUAUGGACAUAUAGGCAGGGAUACUGGAGUAUUGAGGUAGAUAUGGACAUAUAGGCAGGGAUACUGGAGUAUUGAGGUAGAUAUGGACAUAGGCAGGGAUACUGGAGUAUUGAGGUAGAUAUGGACAUAUAGGCAGGGAUACUGGAGUAUUGAGGUAGAUAUGGACAUAUAGGCAGGGAUACUGGAGUAUAAAGGGAUUUCUUGAAAGUGACUGGUAGCAGAAAAUAAUGACUGGUAUAUAAAUAAUAAUAUUAAUAAUGUUAAUAAUAAUAUUAUUAUGAAUAAUGAUAAUGAUAAUAUGUAAUAAUGAUAAUGACAAUAAUAAUAAUGAUAAUAACACCAAUGAUCAUAAUAAUAAUAAUAUUAUGAAUAAUAAUAAUGAUAAUAUUAUUAAUAAUACAAUAAUAAUAUAAAUAAUAAUAAUGAUAAUAUA
ensembl:lncRNA